GGUUGAUAUUCCUGUACCACCUCGUAUUCGUUUGAACGAUGGGGGGACGCAGAAAGGUAGGGUGAGCGCGCCGCUGGCUGUGCGCGUCGAAGCAUGCGAGGCUGGAACAUAGGCAAAUCCGUGUUCCGUAAGGCUGAGCUGUGACCGUGAAGGACCUUCGGGUCCGAAAUCCCUGAUCCUCCGCUGCCGAGAAAAGCCUCUAGUGAGAAUACAGGUGCCCGUACCGCAAACCGACACAGGUAGGCGAGAAGAGAA
rnacentral:rRNA from 2 species